rnacentral:rRNA from 1 species
GCUUGGCCCUAAACCUCAGUAGUUAAACAACAAAACUACUCGCCAGAAUACUACAAGCAACGGCUUAAAACUCAAAGGACUUGACGGUGCUUUACACCCCCUAGAGGAGCCUGUUCCAUAAUCGAUAAACCCCGAUCCACCCCACCCUCUCUUGCUCAGCCUAUAUACCGCCAUCUUCAGCAAACCCUGAUAAAGGUUACAAAGUGAGCGCAAACGCCUCCCCGCAAAAACGUUAGGUCAAGGUGUAGCCCAUGAGACGGUAAAAAAUGGGCUACAUUUUCUAUAUCAGAAAACCCACGAAAACUCUUAUGAAACUUGAGAGUCCAAGGAGGAUUUAGUAGUAAAUUAAGAAUAGAGUGCUUAAUUGAACGAGGCCAUAAAGCGCG